CCACGUUCUGUUGGACGGACGCAUCAAACUCAGAUAAGCAGUAAUGCAAUGGUGACAAGAGACAUACGCGUGUGUAUAAACCACGUUUUUCAAACCUAAGUUUUCUUAAUAAAGUCAGAAAGAAGUGGCUGGAAGUAUAGUAAGACAAACUUGAGAGGGAAGUUAGUUGAAGGAGUAUGGAACUACUUGGGAUCUAAAUAAUUGACAGAUCAUAUGUAAUUAUUGGUAAACACCUGUGCAAAUUUCGUGACAGAUACUAGCAAAGUAGUCGGCUGCAUGGCGAUCUGAGUCCAUUCUAUCAGCUCCUGGAACUGAGGCCGCAACAGCUUACCAACACGGCUUAAGAGACUGUGGAACGAGAGUUGAGUUCCACAUGUACAAGAACAACCCUUAUCUCUGUCCAGGUAAUCUAACUCAUACGCAUUGUUAAGCAAUAAGCAAAGAGAAUAAACGUCUAUGAUACCUUACUAUCUUGGAACAGCCAUUCUUUUGCAACCGCUAUUGCCCGUUAGUCGCUGAGGAUUUGAAACCUCAGAAGCUUCAUAAGGUUGGAGGAGGUAUCUUAAGUGAUCCAAUCAUAUUCUUAGAACAUGGAAUGUCAUGGC
rnacentral:lncRNA from 1 species